rnacentral:rRNA from 1 species
GAUUAACGCUAGCGGCAGGCCUAAUACAUGCAAGUCGAGGGGCAGCAGGGUGUAGCAAUACAUCGCUGGCGACCGGCGCACGGGUGCGUAACACGUAUGCAACCUACCUUUAACUGGGGAAUAGCCCUCCGAAAGGAGGAUUAACACCGCAUAACAUCACGAGACGGCAUCGCCUUGUGAUCAAACCUCCGGGGGUUAAAGAUGGGCAUGCGUCCGAUUAGCUAGUUGGCGGGGUAACGGCCCACCAAGGCGACGAUCGGUAGGGGGUCUGAGAGGAUGAUCCCCCAACUGGUACUGAGACACGGACCAGACUCCUACGGGAGCAGCAGUAAGGAAUAUUGGACAAUGGUCGCAAGACUGAUUCAGCCAUGCCGCGUGCAGGAUGAACGAUCUAUGAUCUGUAAACUGCUUUUGUUCGGGAAUAACCCCUUCACGUGUGGAGGCUGAAUGUACCGAAGAUAAGGGUCGCUAA